GACGAACGCUGGCGGCGUGCUUAACACAUGCAAGUCGAACGGAAAGGCCCUGCUUUUGUGGGGUGCUCGAGUGGCGAACGGGUGAGUAACACGUGAGUAACCUGCCCUUGACUUUGGGAUAACUUCAGGAAACUGGGGCUAAUACCGGAUAGGAGCUCCUGCUGCAUGGUGGGGGUUGGAAAGUUUCGGCGGUUGGGGAUGGACUCGGGGCUUAUCAGCUUGUUGGUGGGGUAGUGGCUUACCAAGGCAUUGACGGGUAGCCGGCCUGAGAGGGUGACCGGCCACAAUGGGACUGAGAUACGGCCCAGACUCCUACGGGAGGCAGCAGUGGGGAAUAUUGCACAAUGGGCGGAAGCCUGAUGCAGCAACGCCGCGUGCGGGAUGACGGCCUUCGGGUUGUAAACCGCUUUCGCCUGUGACGAAGCGGGAGUGACGGUAAUGGGUAAAGAAGCACCGGCUAACUACGUG
rnacentral:rRNA from 1 species